GGGGACGUAGCUCAGUUGGGAGAGCACCUGCCUUGCAAGCAGGGGGUCGAGAGUUCGAAUCUCUUCGUCUCCA
rnacentral:tRNA from 14 species